UCGAGAAUUUUUCACAAUGGGGGAAACCCUGAUGGAGCGACGCCGCGUGGGGGAUGAAUGGCUUCGGCCCGUAAACCCCUGUCAUUCGCGAACAAUGCCUGCUUUACAACACAUUGCAGGUUGAUAGUAGCGGAAGAGGAAGGGACGGCUAACUCUGUGCCAGCAGCCGCGGUAAUACAGAGGUCCCAAGCGUUGUUCGGAUUCACUGGGCGUAAAGGGUGCGUAGGUGGUCGGAUAAGUCUGAUGUGAAAGCUCAGAGCUCAACUCUGAAAUGGCAUUGGAUACUAUUCGGCUGGAGGGUUGGAGGGGGGACUGGAAUACUUGGUGUAGCAGUGAAAUGCGUAGAUAUCAAGUGGAACACCAGUGGCGAAGGCGAGUCCCUGGACAACUCCUGACACUGAGGCACGAAAGCUAGGGGAGCAAACAGG
rnacentral:rRNA from 2 species